GCAGUCCAAGAAUAUUAGUCAAUGCUCGCAAGAGUGAACGAGCUAACUGAAAGAAUAUACAAUCUAAAGUUAGGAAUCUUAUAAUUUAUAUUAUAAGUUUAAAGACGAAUCUAACUAACAGUGUCGUCCAAAUUCUGGUGCCAGAAGACUCGGUAAUACCAGAGACGCGAACGUUAAUCAUCAUGAAUGGGCAUAAAGGGUUUGUAGGCGGCUUAUUAUUUAAUAGGCUAGAAUCUUAGAGAGGUUAAUAAAAUACUUAGAGGAGGGCUGAUAUCCAUAGAUCCUAAGUGGAAUCCUAAUUGCGAAGGCCAUUUUCCACUACAGAUUGACGCUGAGAAACGAAGGUUAGGAUAGGAACUAGGAUUAGAGACCCUAUUACCCCUAACUGUAAACGAUGAAUGGAAGAUAUUUACAAUUGUAAGUGUCGAAGUGAAUACGAUAACCAUUCCGCCUUGCCAGUAUACUUGCAAAAGUGAAAACAAAAAAAUUAGUCGGUCCUAAAGCAAACGAAGUGAAGCAUGUUAUUUAAUUC
rnacentral:rRNA from 1 species